rnacentral:rRNA from 1 species
UACGUAGGGUGCGAGCGUUGUCCGGAAUUAUUGGGCGUAAAGGGCUCGUAGGCGGUCUGUCGCGUCGGGAGUGAAAACUCAGGGCUUAACCCCUGAGCCUGCUUCCGAUACGGGCAGACUAGAGGUAUGCAGGGGAGAACGGAAUUCCUGGUGUAGCGGUGAAAUGCGCAGAUAUCAGGAGGAACACCGGUGGCGAAGGCGGUUCUCUGGGCAUUACCUGACGCUGAGGAGCGAAAGUGUGGGGAGCGAACAGG